rnacentral:rRNA from 1 species
UAUAUCUACGGGGGGCAGCAGUGGGGAAUAUUGCGCAAUGGGCGAAAGCCUGGCGCAGCGACGCCGCGUGAGGGAUGAAGGUCUUCGGAUCGUAAACCUCUGUCAGCAGGGAAGAACGGUCACUGUGCUAAUCAGCAGUGAAUUGACGGUACCUGCAAAGGAAGCACCGGCUAACUCCGUGCCAGCAGCCGCGGUAAUACGGAGGGUGCGAGCGUUAUUCGGAAUUACUGGGCGUAAAGCGCUCGUAGGCGGAAUGUCAAGUCAAGGGUGAACUCCCCGCGCUCA